CGUAGGGUGCGAGCGUUAAUCGGAAUUACUGGGCGUAAAGCGUGCGCAGGCGGUUUUGUAAGCCAGAUGUGAAAGCCCCGGGCUCAACCUGGGAAUGGCAUUUGGGACUGCAAGGCUUGAGUGCGGCAGAGGAGACUGGAAUUCCUGGUGUAGCAGUGAAAUGCGUAGAUAUCAGGAGGAAUACCGAUGGCGAAGGCAGGUCUCUGGGCUGACACUGACGCUCAUGCACGAAAGCGUGGGGAGCAAACAGGAUUAGAUACCCUGGUAGUCCACGCCCUAAACGAUGUCGACUGGUUGUUGGGGGUUUGACACUCUCAGUAACGAAGCUAACGCGUGAAGUCGACCGCCUGGGAAGUACGGCCGCAAGGUUA
rnacentral:rRNA from 1 species